rnacentral:rRNA from 1 species
CCUACGGGGGACAGCAGUGAGGAAUAUUGGUCAAUGGGCUUACGCCUGAACCAGCCAAGUCGCGUGAGGGAAGACUGCCCUAUGGGUUGUAAACCUCUUUUGUCAGGGAGCAAUUGGCGCUACGUGUAGCGUUAUCGAGAGUACCUGAAGAAAAAGCAUCGGCUAACUCCGUGCCAGCAGCCGCGGUAAUACGGAGGAUGCGAGCGUUAUCCGGAUUGAUUGGGUUUAAAGGGUGCGUAGGCGGAAUGCCAAGUCAGCGGUAAAAUCGCGGGGCUCAACCUCGCUCCGCCGUUGAAACUGGCGUUCUUGAGUGGGCGAGAAGUAUGCGGAAUGCGUGGUGUAGCGGUGAAAUGCAUAGAUAUCACGCAGAACUCCGAUUGCGAAGGCAGCAUACCGGCGCCCAACUGACGCUGAAGCACGAAAGCGUGGGUAUCGAACAGGAUUAGAUACCCGUGUAGUC